UAAAAGAGCCACAAGGUCAUUUUGCUCAU
rnacentral:piRNA from 1 species